GGAAAAAAAAGUCAGGUACUCUGUUUUGUAAAAGUACUUUUAAAUUGCCUCAGUGAUACAGUAUAAAGAUAAACAGAAAUGCUGAGAUACGCUUAGCACUUGAGUUGUACAACAGAACACUUGUACAAAAUAGAUUUUAAGGCUAACUUCUUUUCACUGUUGUGACCCUUUGCAAAAUGUAUGUUACAAUAGAUAGUGUCAUGUUGCAGGUUCAACGUUAUUUACAUGUAAAUAGACAAAAGGAAACAUUUGCCAAAAGCGGCAGAUCUUUACUGAAAGAGAGAGCAGCUGUUAUGCAACAUAUAGAAAAAUGUAUAGACGUUCGGACAGACCCGGCAAGGGGUGGCCACUGGUUAAUGUUAGGAACAUGCCGGUCACCUAACAUCUGAGCACGCUCACAAACCUGCAGGCAUAUAUCAUUGGCGUAUGGCACUCAUGCAAAAGGAUCAGAAACCAUUCAAAGAGGACCAUACCCACUUUAAAAGAAAAGGAAAAAAAAGUGUGGUGUUUGAGAGCUAACGUAUUUAAUUAAAUAAAUAAAUCUGGGUCUGCAUCUCUUAUUAAAUAAAAAUAUAAAAAUAUGUACAUUACAUUUUGCUUAUUUUCAUAUAAAAGGUAAGAAAGAGUUUGCAAAGCAUUUGUGGCUUUUUGUAGUUUACUUAAGCCAAAAUGUGUUUUUCCCCUCAAUAGCUUCGCUACUAUUUUAAACAGUCCUGUAAACCCCACCAAGGACUUUUUGUAUAGAAAGCACUACCCUAAGCCAUGAGGAACUCCAUGCUUUGCUAACCAACAUAACUGUUUUCUCUUUGUAGAAGUUUUGUUUUUGAAAUGUGUAUUUCUAAUUAUAUAAAAUAUUAAGAAUCUUUUAAAAAUCUGUGAAAUUAACAUGCUUGUGUAUAGCUUUCUAAUAUAUAUAAUAUUAUGGUAAUGGCAGAAGUUUUGUUUUCUUAAUAGCGGGAGGGGGGUAUAUCUGUGCAGUUGCACAUUUGAGUAACUAUUUUCUUUCUGAUUUCUUUUACUCUGCAUACAUUUUAUAAGUUUGAGGUCAGCUGUCAAAAGGAUAAGCUGUGGGGUUAGAACAUACUACAUUGUAACAUCCUGAAUUGUUUUUAAAACGUCAGCAAACUAUCGGGUCAACUGACAUCCAUUGUAUAUACUGAUUGGUUUCUUUCCAACUAUUUGUUUUGUUUUGUUGUUUUCUUUUUUCUUUUCAUUUUAUCAAAAGCAGGGCCCCUUUCAGAUCUCUCCAUUUCACCACAUAUCUUGGAAUCUGUAAGUUCGUAUGCUAACUUGCCCAUAUUCUAAAUUCACAUAGUUCAUUUUCAGCCUUGAAUUUGAUGUUUCUUAGAAAUAUGCCCAGAGUAAGAAGCUGUGUUGGAGCAUAAGUCCUGCAAGCCGGGGCCCUAGGAACAACCAAUGUGCUUUACUUGAUGGCUAAGUUACAGAGUUCCUGAGAACAAUGUGAAAAGACUGGGUGCUGGAGAGGAAGGAAACAGUUAAAGGAUAGUUACUUGGUGUCCCCCUUCAUGAUUUUAACUGACCCAUAACAAUAUUGAUUGUCAGCAGUAUAGGACUGUUGAACAGCUGGUGUGUCAGUACCCCCAAUGUCACUUCUGCAUAAAGCAUGUAUGUCACCUAUUUUUUCUUCAAUAAAGAGAUUCAACAGCCAUUUCAAGAAAUCCCAUUUAAAAAAAAAAAAACCACUUUCUCUAUGUCCCGUUUUUCGAUUUUCAAGAUAAUUUAACUCUUGUCUAAUAUUCAUGUGUAAGGGAUUAAUUUUCAGACCCCUUAAAAAAAAGAGUGCCAUAAAGAGUCAAUAUAUAGUGUAGAAGUGAUACUUCAGGCUAGGAAUGACCCCCUUCUCUUGGAAUGUGAAGAUCUGUCUAUUCAUCCUGUCGUCAAUACUGACAUACAGAACAAAGAAUGCACUAGUAUCAGUCACAUGUAGGUCAUGUGUAGGACGUGCUUAUCCAGUUUUUUCCCUUUUACCUGCAUAAUUGCUACAUGUUUCUCACUGUAAAAGGCUGCCGCUGGGUGGCAGAAGCUGAAAGACCUUAUUAACGAGGCUAUAUUUUUCUUACCUUGAUCUGCAAUCCAGAAUUAGACCACAAUGCACCUUCGGUUGUAUCCGUAUAGGAUGCCUGCCUGCCUUGUAGUAAUGUUUUAUAUAUUAAAAAC
rnacentral:lncRNA from 1 species